UACGUAGGGUGCAAGCGUUGUCCGGAAUUAUUGGGCGUAAAGAGCUCGUAGGCGGCUUGUCGCGUCGUCCGUGAAAACCUGCAGCUCAACUGCAGGCUUGCGGUCGAUACGGGCAGGCUGGAGUUCGGUAGGGGAGACUGGAAUUCCUGGUGUAGCGGUGAAAUGCGCAGAUAUCAGGAGGAACACCGGUGGCGAAGGCGGCAUCCUGGACCAAUACUGACGCUGAGGAGCGAAAGCCAGGGGAGCAAACGGG
rnacentral:rRNA from 1 species